ACGGGUGGGGGAGGGCUCCCAGUGCUCCCAGUGCUCCCAGUGCCUCCGUCCCAGUGCUCCCAGUGUCCCCAGUGUCCCUAGUGCUCCCAGUGUGCCCAUCCCAGUGCUCCCAGUGCCUCUAUCCCAGUACUCCCAGUGCUCCCAGUACCCCAUCUUGGUGGUCCCAGUGUCCCCAGUGCUCCCAGUAGCCCCAUCCCAGUGCUCCCAGUGCCCCCAGUACCCCAUCUCGCUGCCCCCAGUGUCCCUCCAGUGCUCCCAGUGCCCCCAGUGCUCCCAGUGCCCCCAGUGUCCCCAGCUCGGUGCUCCCAGUGCUCCCAGUACCCUGUCCUAGUGCUCCCAGUGUCCCCAGUGCUCCACCAGUGCUCCCAGUGUCCCCAUCUCAGUGCUCCCAGUGCUCCCAAUGUCCCCAGCCUGGUGCUCCCAGUGUCCCCAGUGCUCCCAGUUGCCCCAUCCCAGUGCUCCCAGUGUCUCUGUCCCAGUGCUCCCAGUGUCCCCAGUACUCCCAGUGCUCCCAGUGCCUCCAUCCCAGUACUCCCAGUGUCCCCAGUGUCCCCAGUGCUCCCAGUACCCUGUCCCAGUGCUCCCAGUACUCUAUCCCAGUGUUUCCAGUGCUCCCAGUACCCCAACUUGGUGCCCCCAGUGUCCCCAGUACUCCCAGUAGCCCGUCCCAGUGCUCCCAGUGCCCCCAGUGUCUCCAUCCCAGUGUCCCCUCCUCCCAGUGCUCCCAGUGGCCCCAUCCCAGUGCUCCCAGUGUCUCUGUCCCAGUGUCCCCAGUGUCCCCAGUGCUCCCAGUACCCCAUCCCAGUGCUCCCAGUGCCUCUAUCCCAGUACUCACAGUGCUCCCAGUGUCCCCAGUGCUCCCAGUAGCCCGUCCCAGUACUCCCAGUGUCCCCAUCUUGGUGCUCCCAAUGCUCCCAGUGCUCCCAGUGCCCCAUCCCAGUACUCCCAGGGCUCCCAGUGCCCCCUCAGAGCCCCCCCAGUGCCCCCCAUUGAGAGAUUGUCUGCAUCCCAGUGUCCCCAGUGCUCCCAGUGCCUGCAUCCCAGUGCUCCCAGUGCCCCAGCCCAGUGACCCCACUGUCCCCAGCCCAGUGCUCCCAGUGCCCCCGUCCCAGUGCUCCCAGUUCCCCAGUGCC
rnacentral:lncRNA from 1 species